UGGACAGAAAUGCACGGCCAGCACCAGCAGGGGCCAGCCUGCUACACUUCAGCCCCCAGCGGCUGUCUUGACAGUAGCUGCUACCUGGUGAUAAGUGCGCAAGGGUUUCCUUUGCUCUACAUUCUCGCCGACACUUGUUGUCUCUUGUCUUUUUGAUGACAGCCACUCUAGCAGGUAUGACAUGUUCUCUCAUUGUGUUUUUGAUUUACAUUUUCCUAAUGAUUUGUGAUGUUGAGUCCCUUUUUAUGUACCUAUUGGCCUAAUUCUACAUUUUUUGGCAUCUGGAGAAAAGAUGUGUUAUAUUUUAAGCUCAUUUAACUUUUUAAAAAUAUACUUUUAAUUUUAGAAUAGUUUUAGAUUUAUGGAAAAAUUGUGGAGAUGGUACAGAGUCCCCAUAUACCCCAUACCCAUUUUCCUCUGUUGUUAACAUCGUACAUUUUUAUGGUACAUUUGUCAUGAUUAAUGAACCAAUAUUGUUAUUACUAUUAAGUAAAGCCCAUAAGUUAUUAUAUUUUCUGUUUUUACCUCAUGUUCUCUUUCUGUUCCAGUAACCCAUCCAGGUUACCACAUGGCACUUAGUCUUCCUUUCUCCUCUUGGCUGUGACAGUUUCUAAGACCUUCCAUGUUUUGGAUGUCCUUGAGAGUUGUGAGGAGUACUGGUCAGGAAUUUUGUAGCAUGUCCCUCAAUUAGGAUUCAGCUGAUGGUCCACUCAUGAUUAUACUUGGGUUAUGGGGUUUUGGGGAGGAGCUCUUUAAGUUUUUCAUCUUAGCUUCUGAACAUCAGAUGUUUGUUCUUUGAGCUCUCUUCAAGGCCGAAUGGCUUUCGGCAGCAAGAAACUCACUCCAGGCACAUUUAUUAUUAUUUGCUUUCAAACACUUUUUGCUGUUUACUCUGCUAAAGAAUAAAAGCAUUUUUAGAAAUUGGGGACGUGCUUGGCAAUAGUUGCUGAAAGGAAAGUUGUGUGUGGAAUUCACUUCUAAUUAUACUUGCUAUGCAGGGAGAGCUGAAAAAUUAAAUAUUAGCACGAGAUUAUUUUAGUCACAGACAUGAAUGGUAUAUAAAUUCUCUUUCCCUACCAAACAGGGGAUCUGGAAUUUUUUUAAAAUUAUUUGUGCCCUUUUCCAUUUUUAAUUUUAGUUGCUACAGGAAUCAGGUUUGUCUUAAAUACUGUUUCCCUGUGCUGUUUUGUAUCUUCCAGCAGAAACGAGAUUUGGAAAGACUAAACUAAAAAGUACACUAGAUUGGAUCAAAAAGAAAACUCUAAACCAAAUCACUUGUGAAUAUCUUUACAAAAAUCUUGAAUAAAAUAUUAAAACACAUAAUACAACAUCUUAUUAAAAAUAGCAUAUCACAAAUGAGUGGGAUUUAUUCUGAGAAAGCAAGGGUGAUUCAUUAUGAG
rnacentral:lncRNA from 1 species